AAGCCAGACUCCUACGGGAGGCAGCAGUGGGGGAUAUUGCACAAUGGGGGAAACCCUGAUGCAGCGACGCCGCGUGGGUGAAGAAGCGCCUCGGCGCGUAAAGCCCUGUCAGCAGGGAAGAAAAUGACGGUACCUGAAGAAGAAGCCCCGGCUAACUACGUGCCAGCAGCCGCGGUAAUACGUAGGGGGCAAGCGUUAUCCGGAUUUACUGGGUGUAAAGGGGGCGCAGACGGCGAUGCAAGCCAGGAGUGAAAGCCCGGGGCCCAACCCCGGGACUGCUCUUGGAACUGCGUGGCUGGAGUGCAGGAGGGGCAGGCGGAAUUCCUGGUGUAGCGGUGAAAUGCGUAGAUAUCAGGAGGAACACCGGUGGCGAAGGCGGCCUGCUGGACUGCAACUGACGUUGAGGCCCGAAAGCGUGGGGAGCAAACAGGAUUAGAUACCCCCGUACC
rnacentral:rRNA from 1 species